GUAAGCUGGACAGCCGCGGACCAGGGCCCAACGGCCCCGGUCUGAGGAAAGUCCGGGCUCCACAGGGCAAGGAUAACGGGUAACACCCGCCGGGGGCGACCCUAGGAAAAGGGCAACAGAGAUAGACCGCUCCGGCGGCGCAGGCCGCCGGAGUAAGGGUGGAAAGGCGGAGGCAAGAGCCCGCCCGAUGACGUGGAAGCGCUCAUCGCUGUAACCUCUAUCCGGAGCAACGCCGUGGAAACGCAUUCGGCCGGCCCGGCCGCGUUGAGGAGGCGGCUUGAGCGCACCGGCAACGGUGCGCCUAGAUAGAUGGCUGUCUUAAAGGACAGAACCCGGCUUACAGGCUUACUUG
rnacentral:RNase_P_RNA from 1 species